rnacentral:rRNA from 1 species
UAGGGAAUUUUCGUCAAUGGGCGCAAGCCUGAACGAGCAAUGCCGCGUGAGUGAGGAAGGUCUUCGGACUGUAAAGCUCUGUUGCCGGGGAAAAGGGGGAAAUGCAGGAAAUGGCAUUUCAUGGAUGGUACCCGGCCAGAAAGCCACGGCUAACUACGUGCC